rnacentral:rRNA from 1 species
AUUGAACGCUGGCGGCAGGCCUAACACAUGCAAGUCGAACGAGUGGCGGACGGGUGAGUAAUGUCUGGGAAACUGCCUGAUGGAGGGGGAUAACUACUGGAAACGGUAGCUAAUACCGCAUACCAUCAGAUGUGCCCAGAUUGGAUUAGCUAGUUGGUGGGGUAACGGCUCACCAAGGCGACGAUCCCUAGCUGGUCUGCGAGGGUGACCAGCCACACUGGAACUGAGACACGGUCCAGACUCCUACGGGAGGCAGCAGUGGGGAAUAUUGGACAAUGGGCGCAAGCCUGAUGCAGCCAUGCCGCGUGUGUGAAGAAGGUUUUCGGGUCGUAAAGCACUUUCGGUGGGGAGGCGGUACCCGAAGAAGAAGCACCGGCUAACUCCGUGCCAGCAGCCGCGGUAAUAC